CCUGACUAAUUUACUAAAGAGUCACACUGCCAUAGGAAGAUUCCUAAAAGCCAUGGAGCUUCAGCUGAACACAACUAUCCACCAUAACACUAUAAGAAAGGCUUUUUUCCACCAUUCUGCUCUCACAGCAUAUGACUACAACUUUUCAUGCGUCAGAUGUGGCCACAACCCAGCUAUUCUCAUUUCAGAUGCCAACUGGAAGGUUUAAUUUGACUUGCCUGUAAGUCUUUUGAAGAGGCCAGUGUCAGAAGAUGUGGCGGAGGUUGACCUCACAGUCAACAUCAGACAGAAAUGGGACCGGCUGGAAAGGGAGAUCUUGGC